UGGGCUCGAAAUGCAGUGGACCGGGUGGAAACAUCCCUUUCCGCAAGGACUGCUGCAUAGGUGCUGCAUGGCUGUCGUCAGCUCGUGUCGUGAGAUGUUGGGUUAAGUCCGCAACGAGCGCAACCCUUAUUGCCAGUUGCUACCGGGGUUAUGCCGAGCACUCUGGCGAAACUGCCCCGGAUAACGGGGAGGAAGGUGGGGAUGACGUCAAGUCCUCAUGGCCUUUAUGUCCAGGGCUACACACGUGCUACAAUGCCCGGUACAAACCGUCGCAAACCCGCAAGGGGGAGCUAAUCGGAAAAAGCCGGGCUCAGUUCGGAUUGCAGUCUGCAACUCGACUGCAUGAAGCUGGAAUCGCUAGUAAUCGCGGAUCAGCACGCCGCGGUGAAUACGUUCCCGGGCCUUGUACACACCGCCCGUCACAUCACGAAAGUGGGUUGUACUAGAAGUCGGUGCGCUAACCGCAAGGGGGCAGCCGCCCAAGGUAUAAUUCAUGAUUGGGGUGAAGUCGUAACAAGGUAAGCGUAGAUGA
rnacentral:rRNA from 1 species